ACCCUACCCCACACACACAAGCACACACACGCACGCACGACCCCAACAUUAAGUUGAUAGUGCAGGCUUAGCAGCACUACUCCGAAUAUGCAAAGCCUCCUACCUGCCUGGGUUUCCUGGUGCACCAAUUUAGGUGAUCACCAUUCAAGCCAGGGCUGCAGGUAUUAUCCAGCAUUAUGUUUUGGAGGAGCCUUGUUUGGGAGUAGCCCUCGCAGGCAAUUCGGAAAUCACUCCUAGGAGAGACUAGAGGUGAAAUGUAAAACCUGAAUGGGGAUUGAGAGGGAAAAAGCCAUUGGUAAUUCACAUUCUUUUACAUGGCUUUUGUUUACGUUAAGCAUGUAAUUAACACCCCCCAAACAAGUUUAUUCACCUGCCCUAAUUGUGUGUUUAUCCGAGGGCUUGCUGAAUGUUCCGAGCAGCGGGGGACGAGAGCUCUGAAAGCACAUCGAGCAUUUAGCGUCUUCUCCGUUUACUUACAGCCUAAACCUCCAGACACGACAACACAAACAGCAUUUUGCACACUAAAACAUUGAUAAUAUAUUGGUCAAGUAGACAGAGAGGGCUUUGCGCCGACACGUCUCUUCCUAUGAUUUUAUUGCUGUUGAUUGUUUAGUUAUAAAGCACCUUUUUAAAGUUUAAUUAGAAAACUUAACAUAAAUAAAGUUAGUUUUUGCCUUGUUAAAGAAAUAUGGGUCCGGCAGCUCUUUCAGGGCGCAGUGAAUCUAAAAUGUUACCAUUCUGGUUAAUUGCCAAUUAGUAAGUUAUUUUCAUUAUCAGUGUGUUCCAAUAAGGGCAGCAAAUAAACAAAGCUGAUGUUACGUCAUGUACGGGAGUGAGAGAGAGAGAGAAGGGACCUGAUGAGAGAAAGAAAGAAAAAGGUGUUGACUGUAAAAGGUAAGAAGGGAAAGUGAAAGAAGGCACGAAAGAAAGGGUCUUGUUUUAUUUUUUUGCUCCCUCGUUGACCCCGGUUUGGCAGAGGCUGGCCAGAAAAAGGCAGCACACCCCUCCCUGGCAAAGACAGGACAGACUCAUGUGCCGGCUGCUUCAUCCUGGAUUCAUCUCAACAAUACACAGGACGAGACUCUGGAGUAAUGACGGAGCUGUGAGCAGGGUCCAGUCCACGGACUGUCACCAUUCGAGCUUGGGACUGGACGUGACACUGGUUCACUGCUAUUUCACUGGUCAGUUUGUCCGAGAUCAGGAUGGGAAUCCAACCGCUGCACCUCUGUAAGUUCAGUCUAAGCAGACCCGUUUUUCCGUCUUCUGUUGCCGAUAAUGUUCGGCAAACUACAACUAAUUUUAUUUUUCGGACGCUUUAAAAAAAAAAAAAUGAAAUGAUGUAGAUAAGCUCAUUGGGCCUUUCUAGUUGGAAUGAGGAGGUUAAUCAAAUUUCUUCUUUUAGAUCGCGAAAGUCCGUUUUUAAUUGGGUGUGUUUGGCUUUUUUUUUAUCCACCGAGCACUGGGGAGAUCUGUGCCUUUGCAGAGCAGCUGUGUGAUGCUGUCGGGAUGGGGCGCACAAUCCCCUCUGUCCCACGCUGGCCAUGCCAGGGUACGGAGACUGUGCCUACACUGUAAAAAGUAUCAAAACAAGUCAUUUAGUGUCGCGCUGAGUUUUGAAAAUAUAUGCUGCUUGCUGGAAAAGAUGUGAAACCCCUGGCAACGGGAUAUAAUAUAAUUUGUUUCCAUUACAACUUUUUUUAUGACAAUUUUUUUUAGCAAGUUUCUUAAUUGUAGUGGAGAAAUAUCAUAUAUAAUCUGUUUUGCUUUAAGAUGCUAACAAAAUUCCUGCAAUGCGUAAAUUUUGCCACUGGAAGAAUUUCCCCGCGUUUGGGGAAAAUAUGAUAAAAUUAGGAUUGAAGUGAUUGGAUAUUUUUUGCAGUGCAUUCUCUUCUUCUCUCAUAUAAAACCUAUGCCCUGCUUCUGUGGCAAUGUUAUAUUAUUUUUCCUUUUCAAAUCUUUAUAUGCUUAAAAAUACGUAUGCCAUUUCGCACGUGAUUUACUUGAUUGGAUGACCUCAAGCGCCAAAACAAUUAAAUCGCUUACACCUUAAAACUGGAAACAGUUGUCAGCUUAGGCUAGUACUUGUGAUGGCAGGUGCAAUAUAGGUCACCCUCCAUGCACGUUCAGAGAAGGAUAAACACAACAGUGCCUUAAUUUGAAAUCAAAUCCAUUUUGUCAUAAUGAUCUUUAAAUGUGGCGCCAACUUUAAUAGCAAAGCUUGUACAAAAGUUUUUAACACCUCUCUCUCUCUCUCUCUCUCUCUCUCUCUCUCUCUCUCUCUCUCUCUUUUCUUUUAUUGUUUUUAUUGUGUGGUCUCAUUAGGGGGACUUCCUGGCAGGGCUGGGAGCUUGUAUCGGAGCUGUCCAAUCAGUGUAUUUACACGGGUUGUUAGCGACAGUUAAUGAGGGCUCCUCCCCGGGCCGGUAGAGAAAGGCGCCUCAACAUUAAGAUUUACCUUGUGUCAACUCGUUACUUCUAAUGAACCUCCAUGCAAAAGCCUCCUCGUACUCAAUGGAGCCGUGCGCCCGGAUCUUGUGUGUGAGACCCUGGAAGAGUGGAGCUGCGAGCCGGCCUCCCUCUCCCCCUUUUCUUCCGCUCACUCAGGGAGAGUUGCUUUUUCUCUGCAGGUCCGGGCUCCAUGAUGCAUGCCUGCGUGUCUGCGUGCGUGUGUGUGUGUGUGUGUGUGUGUGUGUGUGUGUGUGUGUGUGUGUGUGUGUGUGUGUGUGUGUGUGUGUGCGUGUGUGUGUGUGUGUUUGUGUGUGUCGAAUGAAGAUGGAUGUUGCAUAGCCUAUUUUUAAAGGAAUUAGACGUUGGCAACUCAGGCAUCACUUUUCUUUAAUAACGGCAAAAACACACAUGGUUACACUGCGCUUUAAAUUAGCACAUUGUAUCCUACAGACUAUCAGGUCGAAUGUGUUGAAAAUGACAGUGUUUUUAAAAUUUGAUGUCUCGUCAUCACUAACAGUGUGAUCAGAUUCCGGACAAAACAGAACGAGGAGUGUGUUUGCGUGCCCCUAUCACAAACCUGGCAUGUCUUCCAUUGUUUGGUGAAUGAGGCUUGAAAUGUCAGCUUAUUGCCUCUGCAGAAGUAAGUUCAUUUACAAUCACACUCUAUCCCCCUCCAGAGCAGCGAGCUCAGCUCUGGCCCCUCCGUCCACCCCUCGUCUGGCCCCCAGUGUGGCUUGUUGAGCCGCAUCAGCAACACAUCACUGCCCCUCAAUUCAGGUACAAACUGGAGGAGUUUGGCGGAUCCCUGAAGUGGACUCCCCUCUUACUCCUCUAACCCACAGAGACACCACUUAAAAAUCAAUUAGGCUCGUCUGGUCUCUCCCUCACCGCCUGUCAUCAUUUCCGAAACAGGUGGCUUCCACCAAAAUUUGGGGAGGGACCUAAAAGUAAAAUCCAACUUAAGUUCAUUAUUUCAUUUUGACUUGGGGCCCAGUUAUGAAUGAGUUGACAGCCCUUCUGAAUGGAGUCCACUGCCUUAAUGAGGUCGUUCACAUACGUUUGGUAGCUUAUUAUUUGAUAUAUAUUCUAUAUUAUAAAAUAAAAGCGACCCACUACCUGACAGAAUAUAGGCCUCGCUUUGUCUCUUCUCAAGCUGUGAUUUGGGAACUUAUUUUAUUUUGUAGCUUCUAUAUUUUAUUGUCUCUUGAGCUGACAGGACCUUUUAUGCUUACUCUGUCACACAACACAAUAUGUUUGCACACGAUAAUGGGAUUUACCUUCGCUUGUAAAAAGAAAUCUACAUCCACCAGCAGGUGACAAAGUGGCCACAACCAUACUCACGGUUGUUGGCACUUUGUCACCUGCGGGUGAUAGUGACAGAAAAACAGUUUCAUAUCCCUGAUAUAUAUGUAGAGGCCUAUGAAAACUGUUUCAUUUCAUCAGUCAUACAGACUAUUUCUUCAUGCCGGUAACUCUAUAUCAAGUGUGCAUUUUCUCAUGUCUUUCAUCAUCAGUUUAACCGCAGUCACCUGGUCCCCCGUGUUAAAGAGCUGCAGCAAUAUGACACGGAGCAGCAGCGCUGGAGGAGGCCGUAUGUUCACUCUUCCAGGUAGAUGGCUUGAUUUGGAGACAGAGGCACAGAGGGAGAAAUAUCAGAUGCAUUGCCCCAAGCUUUACACAUCACGCUCACCUUCCAAUCCCCGAUGACUUUUUUGAAGAGCAAAACAAGACCUUCUCCACCUUCUCAGCUCAGCUAUUACAGUACGCAGCCCUUGAAGAAUCAUUGUGUAUCAGUCAUUCAUCUGCAUGUGUGGGCCUAAAAAGUGCACUCGGGACUCUAGAGAGCUAACACGAUGGCCAGAGUUACAUCAGCACAAAUUAUGACAGAAUGUCUCUAGGAAAAUAUGACUGUUUUGGACUUCACUGUCAAGGCUGAUUAAGCGCCCCGGCUCUUAGAUGCAGAUAGGAGCUGUAGAGAUGGCCCUUAAGCCCGGUGUCACAGGAGCUGACAAGCCGUAAUUACUCUGGCUGACAUAUCGCUCUCAAAGCUUACUAAUGUGGAUCCCACAGACAGCAUGCAUACAGUGGAGGCCGCUCAACUCUUUGGCCAGGCAGUGCCUUUUAACCCGGGUUCAGAUGCUGCUGGGCCGUCCACACGCUCCACAACUGACCUUUUCCAUUUUAACAUUUCAGUAGUGAAAUAGCCUCUUAUUUAUAAGCUAGUGAUAUGGUAGAGGAGAUCAUAAGGCUGUGUGUGAAAGAAAACAGCAUGCUGUAACACGCAGACGUAAGACGAACAGUAAAGCAGUAGUGAAAAGUAACUAAGUACGUAUGGGAUUACUUGAGUACUAGAUACUUGUGCUUCUACUCCACUCUACUUUAGAGGAUGAUAUUGUAUAUUUUACUCCACUACAGUUAUCAUCCACAGUUACUACUCUACAGAUGAAUAGUUUACAUACAAAUUACAAUCUUAUAAAUAUUAUAUUACAGAAGACUUGUAUAAAGUUGUGAUAUUAUCUUUACCUUGACCAACUACAUUCAAAAUGUUCCUUACAUGUUAAUGAAUCACAGUUAAUAUUUCAAUAAUAUUUUAUAUGAAACAACACACACUGAAAAGGUCAAUGCGCAUAAUUAGUACUUUUGAUACUUAAAGUAAAGUAGAAGUUCCUCAGAAUUAAGUAUUGUACUUAAAUGUAAAUGUAAAUGUAAAUGAUGCAUGUAAAUGUAGCCUACCUGCUUAAUUACUUCCUACUGCUGGUGUAAUGAGUUUACCUCAAGGAAGGAGUCUCCCCAACUGCAGCUCACUUUAGAACAGUUUAUCUCUUAUAGUAUCUUUAUGAUUUUUAAAUAUGUUUAGCCUGCUGGAAGAAGUACACAGACGAUUUACUUGAUAUGUCACGUUGUAAAAAAUACUCCAUUUCAAGUGAAAGUCUUGCAUUCAUAAUUGUACUUCAGUAAAGUACAAUUAUUAUAAUUCUUAAUCAUUAUUAACUUAUUCUCUAUCAUUCUUAUUAUUCUUAUUUCUUAUUUCAGAAAUAUUGUACUUUUUACUCCACUUCUAUUUUUAGUAAUAGUUCAUAUAAAACAAAACACACUGAAAAGGGCCAUUCUGCAUAAUAAGUAGGCCUACUACAUACAUAUAAUAAGUAUAAUAAUAAGUUAAAUAUUUUAAGUGCAUUUUGUUGAUAAUACUUCAGUACUACAACUUUGCAUGCAAGACUUACUUGUAAUGAGGAGUAUUUGUAUUAUUGCUUCUACUUAAGUAAAUUGCUUGAAUGCUUUUUCCAGCAGGCUCAAAUAUUAAACAAAGAUAUGAUAAAAUAUCCUGAAGUAGACAGCUACACGCUUUUAGGGGGUCUCCUCUCCACUUCAGUGGUGGAAAGUAGGAAAUACUUAAGCACACUUUUGAGGAAUUUGUACUUUACUUGAGAAUUUCCAUUUUAUGCUUUAUAUUCUUUAUAUUCUUUAUAUUCACAAUAAUAUCACACUUUUUACUACUUUUUGACACAUUUAGGUGUGCUAGGUUCAGAUUUAAGAUACAAAACACUUCAACAACAGUAAAAUAUAAUGCAGUUUUAUAGAUUAAACUGCCCAGCAUCAUAUAAAGUAAAAACACCCUGAAAUUGGCCAUUCUGCAUAUUAGUACUUUUAUUUUUGAUACUUAGAGCACAUUAUCCUGAUAAUAAAUAUAUACAUACAAUUAUGUAUGCCGAGCUUUUACUUGUAACAGAGUACUUAAGUAAAGGAUCCGAGUACCAACAAUUAAUACUGUAGAAUCAGAAAGUGCUUACACCUGUAGUGGCUGCUUGUUACAAUCACUUAACUCACAACAAACACAACGUCUAUCUCUCUCAGCGGUAAAUGCUUUCAUUAAAGCUUUAUUUUGUAAUCGACUAAAGUGAGUUAUCUAUAGAUCCAUAUCGAUAUGUGCACCUCUCUCUCUCUCUCUCUCUCUCUCUCUCUCUCUCUCUCUCUCUCUCUCUCUCUCUCGUGUGUGUGUGUGUGUGUGUGUGUGUGUGUGUGUGUGUGUGUGUGUGUCUGUAUGUCUAUGUGAAGGUUAUAGUCACCGUGUCACCCACAAUCCUGUCAUUGUCUCACAUUUUGUUUGUUGCGGUGUUUGCAUGGCACGCAAUGAACGAAACCGACGUCACAGUCUCUCUCUCUUUCUCUCUCUCUCUCUCUCUCUCUCUCUCUCUCUCUCUGCCCCCUCCUGACUGCAGCUUUUGACAUUACUCCACUCGAUUGCCCGUUUACCCCCAAGUCAAGUUUGAGACGGGCAAGAAGUGUAAAAGAGGUGGGCCAUGUCAUAUCCGCUCAGUGUGCAUGAGAUUGUUGGCCUGCUCAGCUGUGAUCAUUGUUCAGGAGAACAAUUCCUGCACAGAGCAGGCAGGAAGGCAGCAUAUCAGAAAAAGUGGAAGAAUAGUUGCAAACAGAGUCUGGUUGGACAGUUUUUUUGUUUUCUCUGCAGCACUUGCCAUAUGGAUUUAUCGUGUAGGCCUACAGUUAUUGUAGGCUAUCUAUUUGGGGGGGGGGGUGCUAUAGAUGAAUGCAUUAUACACUUACAUUUUCUACUACUGUCUUUAAUUAAAACUAUUUGCCCUACUUUAAUAUUGAUUAUGUGUAGGACUUGGAAGAUAUUAAGUCAAAUGCAUUAAGGUUAACUUGCGCUGCCACUUAAUACCACCUUUAUAGGCUACAAAACACUGUUCUUGACACUGUCUGUGAAAGAUAAAUAAAAUUUCCACAAGAAAAACUAGAAAAAUCCUUGAAAGAUAUUUUUAAUACAGGCUGUACAGGCUAUAUUUAUUUAGCUCUUAAAUUAUAAAAUCACAGUAACGUUAUUCCAGUGUGCGGUGGUCAAUUCUGAUGUCUUACAUGGUCCUCAUGGUCCUGCGACCUAACAGCACCUGACUGUUGGUGGCAGUACUACUAUAUUUAUUUACAUAUUUAACAAAUAGCCUAUGUAUGUAGCCCAUAAACUGUUACGUUUGUGUUUACUUUAUGUACAGUUAUUUUUUAUAGGCGUCCCAAAAAUAUCCUUUCAGGGUUGUUUUGCUGCUAGGCUAUUUUAGGCUCAAUGCAUUUCUGGUGCAUAAUCUGAAACACAGGUAAAGUCAGGGCGAUUUGUCGUCAGUCCGAACAGUAGAAAGUGCUUCUGAUUCUUCAGCAUUCUCCAUGUAGCCCACAGUGCGCUAACCUGAAUUAUUAUUUGAGAGCACUCAAAAAAACAAGAUAAUAAAAGAGAAAUAACAUGACUAUUUUCAUAAUUGAUUAAGAAGCCUGCGCUUAUUGUUUGAAGUAGUAGUAGCUAAGUAGAGGGGUUGCUAGGCAACACAUUGGCACCGACGUUGUCCUGGUUUUCUGCGCACUUCGGUUUGCGCAAUCUCAGGUGGGUUUUCAUAGAAUACGUCACAGCGGCUUAUGCCCAGCAGCCAAUCAGAGGUGAGUACCGGAACUAACCGUCGUAUAACAGGCUAGUAAUUAGCUUACGGGAUAAUAACGGAGGGAUGUGGCGGCGGAGGAGCUGGUUACUCAUGGGUGAGCAGCGCCCGUCCAAUCUCAUUCAUGUCAUGCAUCUCCGUUUGGCUCGCCAGAUCAAUAGCGGACGUCUGGGAGAGCGGGGGGGGAAGCUGCUGUACAGGAAAUGGAAGGAAAGGUGCAACAAGUCAACAGCAGUUUGACCCAUGCAGCAGGUCUACACAAAAUUAAGCGCCACAUAGAAACGAUGCCCUCUGGCAGCAGUUUGUUUGGUUUUAAAUAACAAAAGUAAGUGCAAGGAUCGGCAGAUAAAGGCUAUUUAUUCCAUUAUUGGUUCUGAGACGCUCAGAUUUGGCGGAAUUUUGCAAAAUAGCAAUGAUAACAAUGCAUUAUUAUUAUUAUUAUUAUUAUUAAUGUUAUAAAAUGUUAUAAUUAUUUAAUUAAUAUUUAUUUUUAUUUUUUUAAAUAGUAGCCUUGUAUUCUUCAAAGCCAUAAGACAGUGAUAUUUGUUAAUACAAAGAACUAUAUUAUAUGUGUGUGUAUAUAUAUAUAUAUAUAUAUAUAUAUAUAUUUGGGAAAAACUAAACAACAAAACUAAAGUUGGAUUAAUGAAGUAAGUUGUUAUUUAAAUUUGAUCCACGUCAUUGUCUAAAAGGAGAAAAAAGAUGGUUACAUUUUUUAAAAUUUCUCUUCGUCUGUCUUUGUCGACCGAGACUCAACAGACCUAUUUCAAUAGUUUUUUCUAAUCCUGCAGCUUAAAAUCUUAUUAUUUCCUGGUUGCUUGUGGAGGGGUAUCUCGCCUCAAUACAGUGCUGAUUGGCUUACAGUAUCAGUAGUUUGUAUCAAGUUAGAUACGCUCACUACGCACACCCACUCCCUGCAAUUGAAACCAUAAUGUUUUCGUACACAUGGGGCUCAUACACACACUGCUGAAACCACUGAAGCCUGCAUGUAACCAGCCACGUCCAGUCUUCACACGCAAAUACAAAAAAAGACCCGAAGUGAUGCUCAAAACAAACUCACAAAUAUAGACUUGACCUAUAUCCGUCCCGCUAUAUGUCACAUUGAAAUAUUUCAGCUUUAUUAUUGUAAAUGUUCAUUCAUUAUUCAGGUCCUAUUUAUUAGCUUUGGAUGGCAGAUGUCAGAGCGUGAUAGAGAUGUUUAUGUUUGACUGAUUUAAGGAGCCAUUAUCCCGCCUGCUUAUCAAACAUUCAUGUGUGGCAGCUGUAGUUGUGGAUCUGCUCUCCAUCGUGUCUCCUGUGGCCGCUUCAUUUCUCCUCUUUAAGCAACCGCGACCUUUCCACUCAGUUAACCUAUUAUCUUUUAACAUUUAAGGGACAGCUCAGCCACUGCAGUGGGGGAAAAAAUCUAAUCUAAUAACAUUAUCUUUAAAGUAACUAAAAUGUGCUAUAUAAUGACACUUUAAACUAUUUCUAGGAGGCAGGGUUGCUGUUGCACAAACAUUAUAGGCAAAUUAGACGAAUAUUACUGUGAUCCUUCCUUGAGAGGAUCGAUUCAAUUGACACAAUGAGUCUUUACAGCUAAUAAACACAUUCGUACAGAUCUAAUAAAAUGAUCUUGCAGCAUUUAUUUCUAGUGUGACCUGAGCUAGCUAUUAAAUGCAGCAUUUAUACAUAAAUAAAAAAAAUUAGCAGAGUUAAUAGUUUACAGAGUUUUAAUGUGACUUUUUGUUGUUAAAAAGAAAAACGAAAAUUCAAACCAUUUUUAUCCUGAAUCGUUCCUCAGCUAUAGGUUAUUGAUACUUAUGAGCAUGCCAUAUAAGAGUUUUGUUUUAAUAUUUGAGCAAUACUGAAGUUAAUCUUUUAUCAGGCCAUUUUCUUUGAUAUCCAUAUAAUAAUAGGUGAUUUUCUGUGAUGGGCUGUGUGUUGUAUUAUCCUAAAACCUAGAAUAAGUGAAGACAUUACUCUUUAACAUAUUUUUUUGUUUGUUUUUAUGUACUAGAGUGAAUUUUAUCAGUUUAUUUGUCAGUGUUUUACUUGCUUUUAUCCUCCCAAUCCAAAGAGAUAAAUGAGAAAAUAACGUAACUUUUACACUUUAACAUUGGGCAACAUUUCUGUUUUUCACAGGCAAAACAGAUCAGUGUAGCCUUUAUGCUGCAACAUAUUUUCUCUCCCUGUUGACUGGACUGCUGAACACACCAUCCAGCGUCCAUGCGUUUUUGUAAUUGCCCUGUGAACACGUUGGUUUUCAUUCUUUUGACCCCUCCAUGAACAGCACGCCGCCGCCCCCGCCGCCCCCACUGCCCCCCCUCUUCCAAACAGCCCCACACAAUGCUACGUGUGCGUGUGCGUGUGCGCUCUGCGGUUCGUGGGCUAAAUGUCGUGCAGAGGUAAUGGGAAGUAGUCGGAAGGUAAGGUCGCGGGUUCACGGCGGGGUUAAAGAGAGCCGUCCAUGGCUGCUGUUUGCUUUUUUUUCCACAACUCCGCUUCCUUCCUACAGGAGGAUGUGUCCAGUAUGCCACCGUCCUCACCCCGCAACAACCCCGCCACCGCUCAGACCGUGUUUGUUUUUGUGCGUUUAUUAAAUCUUCCCCCGGCAGGAAAGCGACCCAUAUCACCACGUCACUGGGUGCUGGUGAGUUUAGCACUUUGCAUCCCUCCUCGGCUCCCUGAGAAAUCUUUUGUGGAAGUCUGGUGUCUAUUUAUAUGCUCACAUGUAGGCUGACUGUUCAAGGCUGUUGCAGUCCAUCCAGCUUUUUUUCAAGGUUAUACUUUCAAUCAUUUUACAAAUUUUAUAAUUAUAUAUAUAUAUAUAUAUAUUUUUAAUCCAAAACACAGUCAUAUAAAUAUCACAGGCAAGAGAUUAAUAAUCCUAAACCAUCAAGCACAUCAUUUCAUAAUUUAAUUUAAGUAUUUUUACUUACUUUAAAAUGUUUGAUCAUUUCUUUUAUUAUCCGAAAGAAGUCAGUGAACUCUGCAUUGAUUAACAAAAUGCCACAUAAGCCCCUUUGCAUCAAGGUUUUGAUGAACCCACAGUAUAAAGCAUAUUUAAGUGAUCUAAGUUAUUUAAAGGAAAUAGAAGUUAUUUUUUGUGGAGAUUAUUAUUAUCUCAUUAGGGAUAACUGCCUGCAGGUCAGGUGGGUUAUCCACCAUAUAAUUGCCCCUGCAUCAUUGUUCAGGCCUUUAACCAUUUUACCGGGUUUUGCUCUAAUGUAAUAAGAAUUACAUUAUGGAAAUUGUGUCUCUAUCAUGUGAUGUAGAUUACUCCUUUAAGAAACCAAGUUAAAUACUAAUCAUUAAAGGCUUACAUUCUUCAAUGUAAAAAAAACGUUUUUAUUGUAUUAGCUAUUCUAUUUUAUGCAGGUGUUAUAUGAAGCUUACUUUAUAGCUUGUUUUAGCAUAUUAAGUUUAGGAGUGGGAGCUUUAAUUUAAACAUACAUUUGUUUUUCUAUAAUGAGAAAAAUAUUUAAGAUUAUACUGCAAUUACGUAUUCUCUUACACAUUUGUUUAAAGAAAAACAAUAAAACUUGGUGUCACUUUUACUUUUAAACUCAGAAACUGAUAUAAGGCUGGAAAAAGAAUUGUGUGUAACUCAAUAAUUGACAUGGAACACACACACACACACACACACACACACAUAUGAGAAAAGAGGACAUGGAGGAUAUGACCUAUAAUUUCAUUUCUCAUCAUAUGUAAAGCCAGCUGACUCCAUUAUAAACUAAUGGCUUUACAUAUUCCAUUUGUAUAAAAAAAAAACAACGGCACUUGAAUGAAAAAGCUAUUUUAGGUCUUGUGAUAUUGAGUGAUAUUGUUAUGAAAAACACUAGUACUGUGUGUUUCCCUUUUUGUUUAAAUAAGGCUGCUAGUAACUCAUUAUGAUAUCAUUACAAUCUGUAACACAACAUCAUGCAAAAAAGAUGACUGGUUACAACCUAAAGUAAGUGUUAUGCAACUGUGUCUUGUGUUCAAAUAUUUUCUGAAAGAAACAUAACAGUGUUAUAUGGUUUCCUACAUGGAAGAGGACCCCAAGGAUUAAGCAUGCAGAAAGUCACAGCUUUACAGAGGACAACAACAUAUGAGUGAAAGAACCCAGACAAAACUACCACUCACUCUGUCCUUUCAGUCAGGCAAGAAACGAUGGACGGAAGGAUAACAGGAUGUACAACAGAGGAUACAAAUUGAAAACGAUUAAGAAAUAGAAAUCGAGAGAGAAAGAAUGGAGAAGUCAUAUAUCUUCAAAGCAGGUGAUUGAGAUUCACCUGACAGAAACAACAGAAAGGGAGAGUAACGGCGUGGGGCUUUGCAUUGGCAUCGAGGCAGCCUGUUUUUGUUGUCACCUUCCCUCUGUUUCCGUCUCACUCUCUCAGUGUCUCUCAUCCUCUCCCUUUCUCUUUGUGUCCAUAUAGAGACAUCUAUACUGGAGACAGGAGAGAGAGAGAGAGAGAGAGAGAGGGAGAGAGAAAUUUUGGUCGUCUGCCUAUCUCCUCCUCACCAUGGCGCCCCUGAGACCAAGCAAGCAAGGAGAGAACACAUACACAUACACACUUUUAGCCGCCACAGAGGAGAACAGCUUGGCUCUGUGUUACACUGAAAACCCCUCUUUUCCCUCAAUCAGACAGACAGGUAGACAGCUGGGUGUUACGCUAAAUCCCUCCCCCCAUGUGUCCCUCCUAACAAGGGCUCCGCUCUUACUGUCACUUCUCUCUUUCUGCAGCUCUCUUUAUUUCAAUGCCCCGUGCUUAAAAGCGAGAGAAAAGCGUCAGGUUUGGGAAACAUAUAACUAUGAUAUGAUUGUAAAAUGCUGAGCAGUUUAUGAAUAGUUUAGAGGAGAUGUUACGGUUUAAAAAUUGCAGGACUUGUUGACAGAAACAGACAUUUAAGACACUGAAAAUGAAACAUAGUGUCUCCAACAGAAGUGUUAUCUGUCCCUCUCUUGUCUCUCUCCACCCUGACCCCAAGUUCACUCCUUCUAAGCACCACUUCACCCCCAAGCCCACAUUUUGUGUCUGUGUAUGUGUGCUGAGAGCGUUUUGAUUUCCUGUGUGUGUGAUAGAGAGAGAUGAGAGAGGAUGAUGGUCAGGCUUGGCCUACUGACUCAUCCACAGAGAGAACUGUGUUGAUACAGGAAUGAAGCCAUCACACACUUAUACACACUCCCCCACACACACAAGCUGACAGCCUCUUCCCAUCAGUCUUUUGUUGUGCUUGCCAGUGAUGAUGAUCUCACCACAUAGCAGGACUAAGCCUCAAUAGUCAGCCAGUCAGUCAGUUUGGCAGGCAGACAGGCAGCCAGUCAAUAUGCCCAUCAGUCAUUCAGCCAACCAGCCAGUCCGUUAGCAGCAGCUAAUUAUCAAAAGUUGAGCAGGUAGUUAGCUAUUAAAUGAGAUGAUAUCAUCCCAGCACUGGUGGAAAGUAACUAAGUACUUUUACUCAAACACUAUACUACAGUUUCGUAGUACUUGUACUUUACUUGAGUAUUAUUAUUUCCUGCUCAAUACAUCUACUCGGAGGGAAAUAUUGUACUUUUACUCCACUAUAUUUAUAGUUAGUUUUCAGAUGAAGAUUUUGUCCAACAGUGUGUAUGUUUAUAAAACACAACACAUUGUUAAAAAUUGGUUCCUGAUAUUUUUGGCUUGUGACCAUUUACAAAAAAUCUGUUUGUAGUUUGGGCCCUUGACAACUGUCAGAUGUCCUUGAGAACACCUUCCAUAAGGUGUAAUUUAAAUAAUUGCUUGAGGUCCAGAGAGGUAAUCCUCCUGCCCCAUUUAUUAUCUCAUGACCUCUCAGAUUUAUCUUGUCACUAUUGGACGGACCCACUCUGAAAUAAUUAAAUCUAGCUACAACUGUAAAAAGUUGCUUACACAUUGAUGCAUUAUUAGCAAUCUAAUGAUGUCAUAUAUAAUAAUAUACCACUCAAAGAGGACAUUUUUGCCCCAAAUACUUUGCAAGUACUUUUACUUUUGAUUCCUUAGAAAAUGAGUAGGAUUUAGUAGUUCAAGAUUACAACUCCCUCGCCUCACCCUCCUGUUCCAAGUCUGUAGGAGAAACUAUGGUAGCCAUGAAACUUGUGAAACACGCAAAGGGCACUAUCGAUAGCCGGUGUUUGGUUUGUCCAUUCUGGACUACUGUAGAAACAUAGCAGUUCAACAUUGCGGCCUCCAUAGAAGAGGACCUGCUCUGCUGUAGAUGAAAACGGCUCAUUCUAAGGUAAGGAAAGCACAACAAUUCUUAUUUACUUAUUAUUAUUAUUAUUCUUUAUUAUACACUAAUGAAAAAACACUUACUUUGCAUUUCUGCUUAUAGAUGCUCCUAAUGUUAAACACUGGACCUUUAAGAAGAAGUAAAUUAAAAACAAUUAUUAUUUUUCUUCGGAUUCUCCUUAUUUAAAAAUCAAGAGAUAAAUCUUGCCGCAUAGGUUCAAAUACAAAUUCUAAUAGCCACCUCAAGACAAUAACAAAGUCUGCUAUUACUGAGAAUCAGAACAUUCAAGCCCAGACAAGAUUCAGAAAAAACUAUCCACCCUUUUAUUUCCAGCAGGUUGAACUCAAACAGUCUUUUUUCAGGUCUCCCCAAAAAGCCUCUCAGGCUGCAACUGAUCCUAACAAAGACAAAGAAAACUGAACAUGUGUUUGAAGUACUUCUGCUUGUCUGGAAAUCUCUGCAUGAUUAAAGACCAAAAAACAAAUUUUUUCAGUAGCUUUGAUGAUAUACACCCUUUUGCUCUCUCGGGUCAUCAGGUAGUGGUGUGUUAACUAUUCACACAAACAAAGCCAAACACAGGAAGUAGCAUAGUUAUUCUGCACAGAACCUGUACACACUUCAGGAGUUACAAGAUUGAACCUCUGAUCUGUAAAAAUGGAUUUUAAAAAUAUUUGUGUUUAUUAUUGAUUCUUAAGCAACUCAGACCACUCAUGCAUUACAUCCUGAUCUCACCCUUAUUUAUUUGUGUGUUCAUCCCUUAAUAAGUUUAAUUAAAUCUAUUUAUUUGUAUCUAUCCUUAUAAUAAAUAAUUUAAAUGUGUUGUACUGUAUUUCUUAUUUGUUGUCUGUAUGACAUAUGCAAAACGCUUUGAAUUACCUUUGUGUAUGAAAUGUGCCAUAUGAAUAAACUUUAUUUGCAUUGCCUUCAAGUA